CAUGCACAGGUGGGGUCCCUCAGCCUGGUCUGUGCCCUCUUGCAAUACGGGACCUCUCGGGGGAUGUUGGAGAGCCAGUUUUGGCCUGAUCCUGCAGGCCAGGCUGAGGGACCCCACUGGUGCAUG
rfam:Myotis lucifugus cont2.44836, whole genome shotgun sequence.